UACCUAACUAUUUCUCACCCUUCCUCUCUCUUUCUAGGGUUUUCAGUUUACAACCAAAGCCUCUGAUAACCAAACUUUCAGUUGACAGAUCACAAUUCAGAUCUAUCUUCUUCCUUCCAAGGAGUUGCUGGGGUCGUUUCGGUUUUUCCAUGCCAGAAGUUGCAACUACAAACAACAAGGUCUUGGAACUUCAUGGGACUACCAAGAAGCAUAAAAUGGUGCCCUGCUAUUGGGAGUGACAUUAAAGCUCUCUGACUCUAGCCAUAUUCCAGAAUCAAUGACACCGACUAUAAUGUCACUCUCAAUAGUAGGGCGACGUUUUAGCCAUGUUUAGAGAGAAUUCAAAGUUGGAGCUAUUAAAGGUUGCAAAAACCCGAUUUGCGCCUCAUUACAUUUUGUUGAAGAGGUUAACCCUUUGUAGAGAGGCCCUUUCUACAACAACUGCUCUAAAUUCGUGGAGAGAUUGGGCAAAACAAGGCGAUGAACACACUCGAACGAUCGCACAACUUGUUGUUGACACUAUUAGGGAUGAUGACUUUUGGGAUGAAGUUGAAAACAUCUUAAAAAAAAGAAAUACUGACCGGAACUCCCUUCCUGUCAUUGUGGCAUCAAUGUAUGGUACAAAGCGAAUGGUUCACUAUCUCUACUCCAAGACUCCAAGUGAGCUGCUGGACCUGGGUAACGGAUUGGACGGUGUGUCUCUGCUGAAUAAUUUGAUCACAGCAGAAUUAUGUGGUGUUGCAGGGUAGAGUUUCAGCAGAUUGUAUCUGAUGAAGGCGUUGCAUGAAAACUAUGAAGAAAGAAGAAAAAGAAUACAUUAAGUUACAUGGAUGAUGCUCUCAUAAUGCAUGUGAAUUCCUUUGAUUGUCAUUUCAUGUUUCUCGAAUUGUCGCUUCGAUUGCCUUACACCGAAUAAGAAAUCUAAAUGGGAUAAGUAAGAGAAGCUAGAAAUCAAGGCAGGCGUGGUGGACAUGGCGAUCAUGGGUUCAGGCGUGGUGGCUGUCUCGGUUACAUUUUAUUUUGUUCAUACGUCACUAAUCAUGAAUCAUUUUGUAGGCAAUCUCGCGUAAGUUUCACUUUUAAAGUGUUCGCUCAUACGACUUGAAUGCUAUCUAUCUGUUCAAAUGAAGAAGAACCUAUUAUUUUUACACAAGAAUGGUGUGAAUAUCUAACUUAUAUUUAUCUUCUUGCAUUGUUUUCAAUCUUUGGCAUGCAAUGUAUGGUUUAUAGGUGAGUGAGAUAGUUAUGUUAAAUUGUGAUGCACUGCUAUCGUCCAUUUUCUUACGUUCCAUUUUCAAUCAUCGCAGCCUUGUGAUACUUGGAUGGAUUCUUGUGACGGGAACAUUUAUAUUGGCUGGAGUGUUCUUCGUUUUGCACAAUGUGACUGCAGAUAGUUGUGUAUCAAUGAAUCAGUGAGUUGAGAACCCGACAGCUCAUACGGUUUUAGACAACAUUCUUCCAUGUGUAGACAACGCCACCGCUCAAGAAACUUCAUAGAGGACCAAGGAAGUCACCUCUCAACUUGUUAAUGUCAUCAACCAAGUCAUCACUAAUGUCACCAAUAUCAACUUUGCCCCAAAUUUCACCCCUCUCUUUUUCAAUCAAUCCAAGAUGCCCCUUCUUUGCAAUCCCUUUAAACCCGACUUCAGCGAUCGAACUUGUGACCCUACAGAAGUCUCGUUGAGCAAUGCCACACAUUAAGAGAAGCUAGAAAUGAAGGCAGGCGUGGUGGACAUGGCGAUCAUGGGUUCGGGCGUGGUGGCUGUCUCGGUCACAUUUUAUUUUGUUCAUACGUCACUAAUCAUGACUCAUUUUGUAGGCAAUCUCGCGUAAGUUCCACUUUUAAAGUGUUUGCUCAUACGACUUGAAUGCUAUCUAUCUGUCCUAUUAGCGAGCCUUAUAUUUUUACACAAGAAUGGUGUGAAUAUCUAACUUACAUUUAUAUAUAUUUUUAGCUAUACAUAAAAUUUGAUUUCUUGCAUUGGAUUUUGG
rnacentral:lncRNA from 1 species